CGAUGAACUGACGGGAGGACUCAAAGUGUAAUCAAACUGGGAGAUAGCUCGUUCUCUCCGAAAUAACUUUAGGGUUAGCCUCGGCAUGCAACUGUUGGGGGUAGAGCGACUGAAUGGCUGUAGGGGCCUACCCGGCUACCUCGGCCAAUCAAACUCCGAAUACCAACAGCCAAGUUCCGGGAGAUAGACCGGGAGUGACAAUAUCCUCGGUCAAAAGGAGAACAAUCCUGAUCGCCAGCUAAGGCCCCAAAUCUCAGCUUAGUUCGAAAGGAAGUCAGAUUGCUGUGACAACCAGGAUGUUGGCUUAGAAGCAGCCAUCAUUUAAAGAGUGCGUAAUAGCUCACUGGUCGAGGAAUCUGGCGCCGAUAAUAAUCGGGAAUAAGCGGAGAGCCGAAGCUGCGGGCACGUAAGUGCGGUAGGAGAGCGUUCCUGUCGGCGUAGAAGGGUAAGCGUAAGCGAGCCUGGAGCGUCAGGAAGUGAAUAUGCGGGCUUAAGUAACGAUAAAGCAGGUGAGAAUCCUGCUCGCCGUAAACCCAAGGAUUCCUGGGGAAGGGAAAUCCGCCCAGGGUGAGCCGGGACCUAAGGCGAGGCCGAAAGGCGUAGUCGAUGGACAUCAGGUUAAUAUUCCUGAGCCGUCGUCGGGAACGGAUUGCAGAGCUCCGCGGGACUGUCAGAUGUCCAGGCCCUUGUGGCCGAUGCGGGGGGACGCAGUCCCUAGAAAAGCCGACGAAUAGCCCGUACCAAAACUGACACAGGUGGGUGAGGCGAAUAGCCUCAGGCGCUCGAGAGAACGGUCGUGAAGGAACUAGGCAACUUAACCCCGUAAGUUCGCGAUAAGGGGGCCCUACCCGCAAGGGAGGGCGCAGAGAAAAGGCUCUGGGAACUGUUUAUCAAAAACACAGCUCUGUGCAAACACGCAAGUGGAUGUAUACAGAGUGACGCUUGCCCAAUGCCGGAAUGUCACGGAAGAAGGUCAGCGCAAGCGAAGCUUUCGACCCAAGCACCGGUCAAUGGCGGCCGUAACUAUGACGGUCCUAAGGUAGCGAAGUUCCUUGUCGGGUAAGUUCCGACGCGCAUGAAUAGCGUAAUCACUGGACCACUGUCUCCACGACCGACUCGGUGAAAUAGUAGUGGCGGUGAAGAUGCCGCCUACCCGCAGCAAGACGGAAAGACCCUAUGGACCUUUACUGUAAGCUCGUAUUGGUCACGAGCAUGAAUUGCGUAGGAUAGGUGGGAGGCUUUGAGGCCCUCGUUUCGGCGAGGGCGGAGCCAACGGUGAAAUACCACCCUGUUCACGUUUGUGGCCUAACCCUGAGUCCCGUGAAUCCGGGCAGGGGACCGUGCGUGCCGGGCAGUUUGACUGGGGCGGUCUCCUCCAAAAAGGUAACGGAGGAGUGCAAAGGUCGGC
rnacentral:rRNA from 1 species